UUGAAAGGGAAACGAUUGAAGUCAGUCGUACGGACGGGGAAUCAGCCUUUUCGAGCGUGAAUUCGCGGGAUUCGGAGAGCCUUCGACCUCGCGUAUUUGGGUUCUUUUGGUGUACUUUCCCGUAACGUAGGUCAGCAUCGGUUUCGAUCGUUAUAAAAUGAUCGGGGGAAUGUGGCUUCGACCUCGGUUGAAGUGUUAUAGCCCCUGUUAGAUGUGACGAUUGGGACCGAGGAUUGCAACGGAUGCUCAAAUGGGCUAUCCGUCUGGUCUCUGAUUCGUUACUUUGGCGUCGAAAGCUUGCUUACGAUGUUAAAGUGGGCGGUCAAAAGGUCAGAACGGAUUAAAUUCGUUAAGGAUGUUGACGUA
rnacentral:rRNA from 1 species